rnacentral:lncRNA from 1 species
CUGCAUAUAUCUUACUUGAUAUUUUUAAAUACUCACUUUUGUUCUUGUUUGGCCCCCAUUAAAUUUUAUUUCAUUUUUCUCUUUUUUAUUUUCAAUUAUAUAAUCUUUUAUAAAAUAAUAUUACACGUAAAUAAAAAAAAAUUUUAUUUUUUUUCAACCACUCAUUUUUUUAAAAUAAAAAUAAAAAUUCUAUUCCACUCAAGUUCAAGCCACCGGAGAAUCUCAAGCAGAAUGGAAUGCGGAUAUACUGAUUCAUAGCAUUCAAUACAUGUGGAUUUGAAGAUAGCUACACCAUGAAACUUUGAAACACAACAAAAUCUAAGCCUUCUGUCAUCUGACAAAAAUCAAUAUACAUGCUUUUGUGAUGGACAGGCAUGACUGGAUGGGAUUAGCAGUUCAAAAUCGUCAAAAAGAACUGGCCACUUUAGAUUACCCCUUCUAAAGCUUCGUUCUGUGUAGCAAAAAUAGGUUUAGUCUUCUAGUAAACUGCCCUUGUCUUGAUUUCUCUGGCUAGGGUUAUCGACUAUCCUCAUCCUUAUCCUCCUCUUCACCACUAUAAUCCUCAUCACUGUCCUGAUCCCUAUUGAUAUCUUCCAUUCCAUCUUUCUCAUCGUCAAUCCCUGCUCUUUUAUCUCCAAUUGAAAUUGAUCCACAAGCAGAAACUGGAAUUUCACCAGCUGCCGCUACCAGGUUUGCUUUAUUGCCAAAGGUCUCAAUAAGAUAAUGUGCCACAGAUCUGAAACCAAGUCUCUCUACCUGAAAUUAACAGUUUAUGAAUAAUAAAGAACAUGAGUGUGUUUGGCUAAGAUUAAAAAUUUGUCAAAUUUAACUUUUUGUUCAAAACAUAUUGGUAUACGUUAGCUUUUCUCUUAUUAUUUCCGACUAUAACUUUAUUUAUUAGAAAGCUUACUAUAAACUAACUUUUCAAAUCUCAUCCAAAUAGAUAUAGAUUAUAGAUGCCAUUCGAUUUUCCAGAACCAAUUCUAGAGAAUUUCAAAAAUUUGUCUGCAAAUAAGCAUCAACAAAUGAAGGUAGAUCAACUUUACCUUCCUGUAGAUAUUUCCGGUGGGUGCCCAUCCUUUAUCUCUUCUGCAGCGACUGCAAUUGCAUAUUCCCCGACAGACAGGGCAAAUCCAAUUUGGAUUCUG